CCUUAAUGGUAAGCCGCGAAUGGCUCGGUAUAACAGCUACGGUUUAUUAGAUUUUUGUUAUCUACAUGGAUAACUGUGGUAAUUCUAGAGCUAAUACAUGCAAAAAAGCUCGGACCUCACGGAAUGAGCGCAUUUAUUAGACCAAAACCAAUCGAACUACGCAAGUGGUUCGUUGAUUGGUGACUCUGAAUAACUUUAGUUGAUCGCAUAGUCAUAGUACUGGCGACGUAUCUUUCAAAUAUCUGCCUUAUCAACUUUCGAUGGUAGGUUAUAUGCCUACCAUGGUUAUAACGGGUAACGGAGAAUAAGGGUUCGACUCCGGAGAGGGAGCCUGAGAAAUGGCUACCACAUCCAAGGAAGGCAGCAGGCGCGCAAAUUACCCAAUCCCGGUACGGGGAGGUAGUGACGAAAAAUAACGAGACAGUCCACUAUGUGGCCUGUCAUCGGAAUGGGUACAAUUUAAAUCUUUUAACGAGGAUCAAUUAGAGGGCAAGUCUGGUGCCAGCAGCCGCGGUAAUUCCAGCUCUAAUAGCGUAUAUUAAAGUUGUUGUGGUUAAAACGCCCGUAGUUGAUUUUUCGACUGCGAAGCGCGGUAGCUCGAAAGGGCUUAACUGCGUUUUCGAGUCUGAAUUUAAGUUUUCCACUGAUGCUCUUUAUUGAGUGUCUUUGGUGACUUGAACGUUUACUUUGAAAAAAUUAGAGUGCUUAAAGCAAGCUUAAUGCUUGAAUAUAGUGCAUGGAAUAAUAGAAUAAGAUUUCAGCCUUAUUUUAUUGGUUUUCGAGGUUGAAUUAAUGAUUAAUAGAAUCUGCCGAGGGCAUUCGUAUUGUUGCGUUAGAGGUGAAAUUCUUAGAUCGCAGCAAGACGACCGACUGCGAAAGCAUUUGCCAAGAAUGUUUUCAUUAAUCAAGGACGAAAGUUAGAGGUUCGAAGGCGAUCAGAUACCGCCCUAGUUCUAACCGUAAACGAUGCCAACUGGCCAUUCGCCGAUGUUAAUUUAUGACUCGGCGGGCGGCCCCCGGGAAACCAAAGUUUUCUGGUUCCGGGGGAAGUAUGGUUGCAAAGCUUAAACUUAAAGGAAUUGACGGAAGGGCACCACCAGGAGUGGAGCCUGCGGCUUAAUUUGACUCAACACGGGAAAACUCACCCGGCCAAGACACAAUAAGGAUUGACAGAUUGAUAGCUCUUUCUCGAUUUUGUGGGUGGUGGUGCAUGGCCGUUCUUAGUUGGUGGAGCGAUUUGUCUGGUUAAUUCCGAUAACGAACGAGACUCUAGCCUAUUAAAUAGACGCGAUAUUCUUUAAAGUAUAACGUUCUUCUUAGAGGGACAAGCAGCUUCUAGCUGCGCGAGAUUGAGCAAUAACAGGUCUGUGAUGCCCUUAGAUGUCCGGGGCUGCACGCGCGCUACAAUGGAGAUAGCAUUGUGCGUGACGUCCAUGUCCGAAAGGACUUGGUAAACACGAAUUAUUUUCGUGCUUGGGAUAGGCGAUUGCAAUUAUUCGCCUUAAACGAGGAAUUUCUAGUAAGCGUGAGUCAUAAGCUCGCGCUGAUUACGUCCCUGCCCUUUGUACACACCGCCCGUCGCUACUACGAAUUGGUGGUAUCAGUGAAGAACUUGGACCGAGUGCGAAGUGACCGUAAAAAGUCGCUACGUUUGCUUGGAAAGAGUUCUAAAUCGUUGCCACUAGACGAAGUAAAAGUCGUAACAAGGUUUCCGUAGGUGAACCUGCGGAAGGAUCAUUAUAGCGAUGCUCGACGCAGAGAUAUUCGCGGCUAUAUGGGUCCCGGUUUAUGGAGUGUGUUAUGCGGAAUACGGCGCUUGUGUGCGUCAUUCCGCCUCCUACCGGGGCUAUCGGGCUUUCUAGGGUGGUGUAUGACAGUGUAGAGUAGUGCGUACGGCGAUGAGAUUAAAUUCGUUCCGUCUGCGCAUCUAUUCUUGUAUCACAGUCGUCCCAUCUAUUGGAGAGUUCAGUUGACUGUAAUGGUCGACUCGGUUGUCCGCGUAAGGAUGAUCUUGUUUGUGUGUAGAAUGAGAAAAAUCGGACUCUUGUAGCUCGCGUUCGUUUUGUAUAUUAGCUACAUUUUGGGGUAUUUGAUUCAGUCAUUUGAUAGUCGAGUCCGGCUAUGCGCAAUGCGUGACUGAAACGACGCUAAUGAGUACGUGUGUAUACGCGCUUAUUUAUACGCGCAUGUCUUUGCGGAGCGUGCAAAGGUGUCCAGUACAGCAUGUGUGUAUAUUUGGGAGUGUAUGUGCAUUAGCUGAGAUUUAAAGAAUUCGGCAAAUUUGCUAGGUUAUGCCAGUUUGACGAAUCGCCCCUUUGAAAAAUUUGCUCAAACUUAUAUAUUUUGUAUGCGUAAAGUUGAUUGAACGUAUAUGGUAGUGUUUUCUUGCGAGAAUAUUAUGUUUGGGGCGGUACCUAGCUAGUACCACUAUGUGGUUAUAUGUGUAGUCUCGUUGGUCAAUCUGGUAUAUACACGAUGAGUAUGCUACUAGCCGGGGCACUAGUGAGCUGAUAAGAAUUGUGAACAGCUAUGAAAAAAGUGAAAGCCUUAAAAAUAAUGAAAGCCACUAAAAGCUUGUUGUGUAUAUGCGUGUUGACCGAGAGUCUGCGCAUGUAUUCUCACCGUGUGGAUACUGGUUUGAAUGAAAAAAGUGUGCAUGAAAUGCUUGUAAGAUUAAUGCUGGGGCGGACUGUGUACGUUCAAUAGAUUGCAACGUAUGAAUAUAUAUUUGUUUGCGAACCACUGUGGGGUAUUUGAGUUUAGUCAUUCGAUAGCUGCAUAUGAUAGUUAUCAUGGUUCGGCUAUGCGUAAUGCGUGACUGAAACGAAACCGAUGCUUUUAUUGGUAGACAGAGUGUGUUUGAGCAAUGAAUGAUAAUGCGAUGUGCGUUGUUUUUUGGUGCAUGUAUGUGUACUCGCUUGUGCGCACCGGUGCCGACUAUUAGUUAUAUAACGUACUUGCGAGUAAAUGCAAAGUGUUUGCAUGCACCAUUAAAGUCGUAUUGUCUCUGCGCGCGUGUUUGUCAUUUGUUGCUUGACUCUACCAAAUCGGACGAGAUUUAAAGAAUUUGCCAAUUUUUACGAUUGGUGGAUCGCCCUACGACUUGACUGACUGGUAUUUGGUUAUAAAUUUAAUUUAUAUGAUGAUUAGAUACACACACGUUUGCGUUCGUUAAGAUGUGUG
rnacentral:rRNA from 1 species